UCUUUAACAUAUAUUUUUAACUACAAAUGAGCUUAAAAACGUCGGAAAUUCUGAAUUAGCGUCGGUGGUCUGUCUCCGAGUACAUAUGAAAAGGUAUAAAUUUAAAAAUUUGCAUACCCAUUGACCUUUCUUUGUCGAAUCAUUAGAAGGCUGAUACUGACUUCUCGAAACCAUAUAAACAUCGUAGUCACGACUGUUCUACUCAGUGAAACACGGUAUUUGAAAGUAAUGAAAAAGAUUUUU